rnacentral:lncRNA from 1 species
CAAGAAGUGGUGUUUUUUUUACCCUAAGCAAACCACCCUGGGUCCAGGGUUUUGGUGUUAGGCCUGGCUUUAGUUUUGUUACUGAUCCUGUCUCUCAGCAGCUAAUGAUUUUGUUUGUUUUUUUCUUUCAGGGAACUACACUUGAAAUGACUUUAUAGGAAGUUUAUAGUCUUUUGUAUUGAAGGGACAUUGUUCAGUGUAACUGUGAACACCAUCUUUAAAACGCAAUCAUAUCCCAGUUCUCUAUCAUCACGUGUCUGACGUGUAUUUUUCAACCCUACUGCAGUUGUCCUACUCAGAUUAGAAAGCAAAGCUUCCUUCAGGAUUAGCAUGUGUAAUGCCGUAGUGGGGUAGAAAGUACUACAAUAAUAGCAAAGUCUUUGGCUACAGCAAAUGAGAAUGAGACCAAAUGCAGGAGCCCCAGAUGCAGAAAUGAACAAAAACAGCUGCUUACCUUCAGAAGGCCUCAGGUAGGCAGGGAUCUCCGGUAAUAUAGCCUUGCCUCCACUGCCAAUCCUUAAAUGGGAGGGGGGAUGGAUCCUGGCUCUAUCCCUUCUGGUCACUCAGGUACAUUGCAUGCACCUGAGCUCCCCUGCAUUGGCUCUGCCUUCCUACCAGGUGCUGAAUCACUGCGUUGGCCAUGACUUUGCAUUUCCACUACAGCAGGUGGCGUAAAUGAUGUCUGACAGCUAGAAGAUGCUGUGAGUGCACCAAGACUUCAUUACCUUAUUAAAACCGUUCAAUCCUGUUGGAUCGUAAUGCUCAUUAAAUGAAGGCAAUCGAGUACCGUCACCGAAGGUAGGCAUUUUAUUUUCAAUGUGAAAAGUUCUUGUACAAAUUCCCUUGUUCUUUCCUGUUCUGGCAAUCAAUAUGCACUUACAAAAGAGCAGGUUUGUCAUUUUUCCCAAAGACAAAUAAGCAAAGCGUAAUGGCUGUAAAAAUUGAUCGAUGUUACUAUUUGAAGCAUGUGUGGAAAUAAAAGAAGUGUCAGACAACUUAGCACUGCAAGCAACAUGGAAGGUGGUUGGAAUUCAAAUAGCAUGUAAUUGACUUUCUGUUUAAAAUUAGCAGGAAAAAUAAUCUGUAUGAGUUUUACUACUGUGGACAGGAAACUCAAAGCCCAGAGUCCCCAGUUAUUUUUCCGUCUCACUGGCAUCCUGUGUGCUGGAUCUCUGCACAACGGGCUUUAUUUACUCUGACAGAAGUGUAGUAAGGAUUAAUGGAUCUUCUCUCAUACUCCAAAAUCUUUGUGUUGACUGAAGGGAAGACAGGAUAGAGAAUUGUGGAGUGCAAUCUUAGUGCGUCUUAGAAUUGGGAAGAUUUUACCUAAACUUGGUCCUGUCUGAUGCACCUAUCUUGCAGGUACGUCAGUGAAAAAAACAGAGGAAGAAGAAUCAAAAGCGGAAGUGGGUAAUUGCUUCAUCCAGCAUCACAUUUCUGCAGGGGCAUGUUUGAUUCCUGAAGAGGGUAAGGGUUAGGGGUGUCAUUUGCCCCAGGGCCACGGAGUGAAGAGACGCUG